rnacentral:rRNA from 1 species
UACGGGGGGGGCAAGCGUUGUUCGGAAUUACUGGGCGUAAAGGGCGCGUAGGCGGCUUUUCAAGUCGGGCGUGAAAUCUCCGGGCUUAACCCGGAAGGGUCGUUCGAUACUGUUGAGCUAGAGUGUGGAAGAGGCAACUAGAAUUCCGUGUGUAGCGGUGAAAUGCGUAGAUAUACGGAGGAGUACCUGAGGCGAAGGCGGGUUGCUGGGCCAACACUGACGCUGAGGCGCGAAAGCCAGGGGAGCAAACGGG